rnacentral:rRNA from 1 species
UACAGAGGGUGCAAGCGUUAAUCGGAGUUACUGGGCGUAAAGGGCGCGUAGGUGGUCUUGUGAGUGUGAUGUGAAAGCCCCGGGCUUAACCUGGGAAGUGCAUCGCAAACGACAGUACUAGAGUAUAUGAGAGGGUGGCGGAAUUUCCGGUGUAGCGGUGAAAUGCGUAGAGAUGUGGAGGAACACCGAUGGCGAAGGCAGCCUUCUGGGCCAACACUGACGCUCAUGCACGAAAGCGUGGGGAGCAAACAGG